CCCUUAGACGUUCUGGGCCGCACGCGCGCUACACUGACCAGUGCAACAAGCAUCCGUCCUUGGCCGACAGGCCCGGGCAAUCUUUGAACGCUGGUCGUGAUGGGGAUAGACUUUUGCAAUUUUUGGUCUUCAACGAGGAAUUCCUAGUAGGUGCAAAUCAUCAGUUUGCAUCGAUUACGUCCCUGCCCUUUGUACACACCGCCCGUCGCUGCUACCGAUUGAGUGUCCUGGUGAAUUAUUCGGACCGACAGCAUCGGAAGUUUCUUCUGUUGCCGUUGGAAAGUCUUGUAAACCCUGACACUUAGAGGAAGCAGAAGUCGUAACA
rnacentral:rRNA from 1 species